AUUGAACGCUGGCGGCAGGCCUAACACAUGCAAGUCGAGCGGAUGAAGGGAGCUUGCUCCUGGAUUCAGCGGCGGACGGGUGAGUAAUGCCUAGGAAUCUGCCUGGUAGUGUGGGAUAACGUCCGGAAACGGGCGCUAAUACCGCAUACGUCCUGAGUGAGAAAGUGGGGGAUCUUCGGACCUCACGCUAUCAGAUGAGCCUAGGUCGGAUUAGCUAGUUGGUGGGGUAAAGGCCUACCAAGGCGACGAUCCGUAACUGGUCUGAGAGGAUGAUCAGUCACACUGGAACUGAGACACGGUCCAGACUCCUACGGGAGGCAGCAGUGGGGAAUAUUGGACAAUGGGCGAAAGACUGAUCCAGCAAUGCCGAGUGUGUGAAGAAGGUCUUCGGAUUGUAAAGAACUUUAAGUUGGGAGGAAGGGCAGUAAGUUAAUACCUUGAUGUUUUGACGGUACCAACAGAAUAAGCACCGGCUAACUUCGUG
rnacentral:rRNA from 1 species